CAGUCCGAUUUUCCCCGUCGAUGUGGUGUGAAGGUCGAAAUUCUCGCGCACGUGUGUUUAUCUUUUGAUAGAAUUACAACAACAACAGCGAUUAACAUUACGAUGUUUUCUCAGAAAACCAUGAGCUUCCCAAGUUCAAGGACCAAUAUGAAGGAAAUGCUUGCCAAAGUUAUUGCUAAGAAACUGAUGUCUGUUCCGGCCGGGAAAACUCCCAUCAGCUUCUUGCAGGAGAUCUGCACAAAGAAAGGCAUCACCCCUCAGUAUGAUCUGAUAGCAAAUGAGGGGGCCGUCCAUGAGCCCACCUUUGUGAUCCGAGUCAGUGUUGGGGAGGUCACGGCUACUGGAAAGGGUUCCAGUAAGAAGAAGGCCAAACACUGCGCUGCUCAGGCUGCCCUCAAAGAGAUCUUGGGGGUAAAUGGGGAGUUCACCCCAGAGGAAGAGAAGCCCCAGUCUAAGGAGGAAAAUGGGGGUUCCAGCAAUGGACAAGCUUUUGAUGAGGGCGUUCCAGGAAACCCGAUAGGAGAGCUGCAGGAGUUUACCCAGAAAAAGCUGAUCAAGCCACCUGUGUACGAGUUUGCUGACGAGCAAGGACCAGCCCAUGCCAGAGAGUUUGUCUGUAUUGUCAAGCUGGGCAAACACCAAGAAAAAGGCACUGGUCGUUCCAAGAAGACUGCCAAGCGAGCGGCGGCGUCAACGAUGCUGACGUACAUCCGCAGUCUGGAAGGUGAGGAGAAGGAAAACGUGGUGGAGGAGGACUUAGAUGAGGAAGAUGAAAUCCCUCUGCCUGCUGAACCCCGGAGAUCUGCCUACACAGCCCUGAAGGAAGGGAAGAAGGUGCCAGUUACCUCCCCGCUCCAAGUUCAACAGAUACAGCAGUUCUAUGAACAAAUCAUGAAGUCUAGUCCUAAGAGUGUUCAAGCUUUGCAGGCCCAACCCUUGAACAUCCCAACCACCAACUACUGCCAGAUGCUUCAGGAAAUCGCCGAGGUGCAGCGCUUUGAAGUGACUUACAUUGACAUUCGCGAGAUCAGUGUCAGCGGAAUGCGUCAGUGUCUAGUACAGCUGUCCACCAUGCCGGUUGCCGUCUGCCAUGGGACAGGCGCAACCAUUGACGACGCACACGGACAGGCUGCGCACAACACGUUGCAGUACCUCAAGGUGAUGAUGUCAGUAAAGUCGUGAGAACAGCUCCCAGGGCUUGAUGAGGCCUCGCUCAGUGAACAUAGUUGUUUUGUGUCGUCUUUGGUCAGUCCGGAAAUUCAGUGCCUUGCAGUGGUGAUGUCAUCAGUGAUCCCUGUUUGGGAACUCUGUUGAGGACUGGUUGAACAGGUCUGGCCAAAUUGGGGCCGAAAAGCUGACCCGAAGAAGCCAUGCAGUAGCUGUGUACGUCAUCUUGGCCACUCUGAAGCGACAUGGUUCACCGAGCUUGGGGCACUUUGGGGGGUGUUCACCGAGUUUCGAGCAAGAUCAAUGAUGACGUAAUUUCUGAAAAAAUCUAACCGUUGAGGGAAAAUAUCCAUAAUAUAGAGGGGUAAUUAACAGGUAUAAAAUACCCCCAAAGUGAAAUUUUCUAAACAGAAAUUCUGGGGCAUAAUUUUCUUCAUUUGGCUAGAAACAUAAUUUUUAUUUUAGAGUUCCCUUUCACAUAUCCUUUGACUUCUAGCACAACAUAUGUCAUAUGAAGCCUACUUAAAUAAGGGCUACUUAACACUAAGUAUUCUUCAUGAAACUUACACAUAACAGCUUGUUUAACAGAAUUUUCUGUUUUGUAUUUAUGCUAUCACUCUAUAUACAAGACCAGCUGCCUUCUCAUAGUAGGUUAAUAUUGGGAAAGCAUAACUGUUCAAAUAUUUGAAUAAUAUUUUACAUAGAGGUGGCCUCCCUGGCUCAGUUGGUUAAUGCGCUAGCGCAGCCUAAUGACCCAGGAGCCUCUCACCAAUGCUGUUGUUUUUAGUUCAAGUCCAGCUCAUGCUGGCUUCCUCUCUGGCGGUACAUGGGAAGGUCUGUUAGCAACAAGCGGAUGGCCGUGGGUUUCCCCCGGACUCUGCCCGGUUUCCACCCACCAUAAUGCUGGCCGGUUUUGCGUGCGGCGUAAAACACCAAUCAAACAAGCAAAUAAAUAAAUAAAUAUUUUACAUAGUACUUAAGCACUUUUAACCACACUGACGGCAGGGAGGAUUAAUGGUUGGAGCAAACUGGAUUAUGGCAAAUCCUGUUUCGUGUAGAUGUUUUGUGAGGCUUUACUUCUCUUUACUGUUGAUCAGAUUAAAAAGUGGAUCAAGUCAUUGUGCAAUAUGAAGUGAAAAAUUAUUGUUCCGUAUUAAUAGGUUAAUGUCGAAGAGUCUGGCUUCAAUCUUCAAUCUUUUUUACUAGUAACAUGUCGAAUUUUUUGUUUCAUUUAUCUGAACUUCUUGUGGCUGCCGUUUAUUCCAUUUCCCAUCCACAAAAUCUGCACUACAUGAAGUAUAGUGAUGUUGACUGCAUAGAGAAAUCCUCUAUUGAUGUACAGGGUGAAUAUCACCUUAAUUCUUGUUAAUUGGCCUUUCUUGUUUUAAUUUCAAACAGACUUGGAAAAGACAGUUGUUUGAGAUACACCUACUCUAGUUGUUAAAGAUGUUCUGUACAUGGCGAUAUUUUGAAGCAGCGAUCAUGCCAUUUUUGUGUGAAUCUAGAUUUUGUCGGUUUACACCUAUUAAUAGUUUUUAUGAAGGAUGAGCUUUAGGUUAAACUUCCAAAUGGCAUUACUUGUUUCAGUUUCUUGAAGUAUUUGUGAUGUUUUUUUUUUUCCUUGCCUGCCUUUUGUUGUUCUCACUAGCCAUGGUGAGACAACAGAUUGCCUAAGGCUAGGUUUUAACAUGCUCACCCAAUAGCAGAAAUGCUUUCUUUUUUGUCUGAGCUUAUUCUUAGAGGAAUAUUAGCUUCACACUUGUCGAUAGUAAACAGAUGUAGGUUAGCUAGCUACUUAUUUGAUCUUCACUCAAGUACUUCUCAUAAUAGUUUUUUUUACUUUAUGACCUCCUCUUUGAACAAGUGUUCACCAGAUCUUUUUUUGUGAAGUUUAAGUAAAAAAUUCCAAGUAUGUUCAUCUGCAUGAAGGUUAUUCAAGGGCGUGACUUCAUCGCAUUCUGACAGAUUUUUCAGGAACUGUCAUCCAAAACUAAUUGUUCAAUGUGUUUACCAUUAUUUGGUUAUUUUCAUGUGUUUUUUGUUUUGAAGGAGUUCUCAAUAAUUUGAAAUAGUUGUUUUUAAAGAAUCAUCAUGAAUUUAUGAAGUGUGUUUUGGAGAGCUGGUCCAGAAAAUCUCAUUUCUACAUCUAUUGUGAAGGAUUGGUGAAGAUUUUGUCUGUGUAUUGUGGAGGAUUUAUCAAGAAUUUCUGGUGUGUUAGAUAGAAUGGACUGUAGUUAACGUGAUUGAUUUUAUAAGGACAGUCAUAAAACCUGAAAAAAAAGAACAUGAAAAUAUUAUAAUGCCUGUAGGAUUUAUUUAUAUUCUUUUAUUUUGCCAAGUUUCUCUUACCUUAGAAUCUCUUAAACAGUUACUCGUUAUACUUGGACAAAUUACUUCUUUAUGGCCCAGUUGUUUACUUUAAAUUGAACUUUUGGAUUAUAUUUUAGAGUGUAAAUUUUAGCAUACCACUU